AUUGAACGAUGGCGGCAUGCCUAACACAUGCAAGUCGAGCGGAGCGGCGGACGGGUGAGUAAUGCCUAGGAAUCUGCCUGGUAGUGGGGGAUAACGUCCGGAAACGGGCGCUAAAACCGCAUACUAUCAGAUGAGCCGAGGUCGGAUUAGCGAGUUGGUGGGGUAAAGGACUCCCAAGGCGACGAUCCCUAGCUGGUCUGAGAGGAUGACCAGCCACGCUGGAACUGAGACACGGUCCAGACUCCUACGGGAGGCAGCAGUGGGGAAUAGUGCACAAUGGGCGCAAGCCUGAUGCAGCCAGGCCGCGUGUGUGAAGAAGGCCUUCGGGUUGUAAAGCACUUUCAGCGGGGAGGCGUUACCCGCAGAAGAAGCACCGGCUAACUCCGUGCCAGCAGCCGCGGUAAUUC
rnacentral:rRNA from 1 species